rnacentral:rRNA from 1 species
GAUGAACGCUAGCGGCAGGCCUAACACAUGCAAGUCGAGGGGUAACAGGAGUAGCUUGCUACUUGCUGACGACCGGCGCACGGGUGCGUAACGCGUAUACAAUCUACCUUUUACAGGAGGAUAGCCUUUAGAAAUGAAGAUUAAUACUCCAUGGUAAGUAACAAUGGCAUCAUUAUUACUUUAAAGCUUCGGUGGUAAAAGAUGAGUAUGCGUUCUAUUAGCUAGAUGGUGUGGUAACGGCACACCAUGGCAACGAUAGAUAGGGGCCCUGAGAGGGGGAUCCCCCACACUGGUACUGAGACACGGACCAG